GAGGAUCAGCCAGUAACAUGCAGUUAAACUAUGAGAUUCUCCAUCUCUUUAGAAAGGAAACAGACUGCCCCAUUGCUUUCUUAUUGAGAGGGUUCAGAAUAGCACCAGAGAGCUGCAAACCACACUCCCUGGAGUAAAAGCCUUGCAGAUUUUCAGGACACUGCAGCCACCACACUUGGCAAGGACCCAGAGUAUGCAACAGCAACCAAAGAAGAAAAAAUCCACUCAAUCAAGAUGAGACCAGAUACCUACGCCAAGAAACACUUCAAACAUUUGUCUGGAUCCAACUGCAAAAGCAGGAACAUGAACAACCAAGACAACAGGCCUCCUCUGGAACAUGACUGACAGCUCAGGAAGAAAAUGAUGAUCUAACUGAGCAUGGUUAUUACUGGUGGUGACUACAAUACAUUUCAUAAUAUUCUAAUAAAACUUAAUAUGAUUACU